rnacentral:rRNA from 1 species
UCCAGACUCCUACGGGAGGCAGCAGUGAGGAAUAUUGGUCAAUGGGCGGGAGCCUGAACCAGCCAUGCCGCGUGAAGGCGAGUGCCCUACGGGCGUUAAACUUCUUUUGUGCGGGAGCAAUAAGGGCCACGUGUGGCCCGAUGAGAGUACCGCACGAAUAAGCAUCGGCUAACUCCGUGCCAGCAGCCGCGGUAAUACGGGGGAUGCGAGCGUUAUCCGGAUUUAUUGGGUUUAAAGGGUGCGUAGGCGGCGCUUCAGGUCAGCGGUGAAAUACCGGGGCUCAACCCCGGGGCUGCCGUUGAAACCGGAGCGCUAGAAUUCCGAUGCCGUCGGAGGAAUGUGUGGUGUAGCGGUGAAAUGCAUAGAUAUCGCGCAGAACCCCGAUUGCGAAGGCAGCGUGCCGUGCCGCCACUGACGCUGAGGCACGAAAGCGCGGGGAUCGAACAGGAUUAGAUACCCCGGUAAAA